GGUAGAAUGGCUGAGUAGUAAGCGGUGGAGUGUAGUUCCGAGGACGUAGGUGAAAUCCCUAUUUUUAUCA
rnacentral:tRNA from 1 species